UGGAGUCACAGAGAGUCAGAAACAACUGAAAAAUGACUGAACACCAAUAAAAACAACAACAAAAAACAAAUGAUGAACCAGAUAACUAGGGAAUAGACGAAGAUGAAAAUGGUCUCCAUUCCUUUAUCCCUCCAAACAACAUGGUUCAGUGGAUAGGGCAUUGGACUUGGAGUAAGGAAGAUCUGGCCUGAUUUUAGUACUUACUAGCUCUGCGACCAUGAACUGAGCCAGUUUCCUUUUCUGAAAAAUGAGAAUAAUCAUACCAAUUGUACCUACCUCACAGGGUUAUUGUGGGGAUGAAACAAAACAAUGUUUGUGAAAUGCUUUGUAAACCCUAGAGCCCUAUAUGAAUUCCCAGAUACUAUCAAUAUUAUUUUUAUUAUUAUGAAUAUAGAGCCACAUAAAGAAUUUUUAUAAAAUUUAACUGAAAGAAAUGGUCCUCCCUUACUGUGUGGUUGUUAUUUUUAUAUCAUUUCUUUGGUUAUGUUCAUGGAGCUGAGCAACAGAAUAGGAAUGACUGAACUCAAACCCAUCGCUACAACAGAAAAAGAAAACCUCCAAGGCAUCAAGAAGGAGGGUGAAAGGCAAGAGGCUGAUGAGAAAUAGAAGAGAAGAAAAUGGUGCAUGACGGGAGAAAUGAAGACAGAAGAUGGCAAAAAGUAACCGAAGAGCCCAUCAUAUCAAAGAAGACCAAGAGAACGCUGAAGGAAGAAAACAGAUUUUUUUUUUUAAUGAGGAUCGGGAAUUGCAAUAUCAUUUUGUUUCUGCUAAAGAUAAGAUUAUUUGCUUGCUUUGUGAUAAUGCAAUAUCAACAUUAAAGAAAUUCAACGCUCGUCAGCAUUAUAACACUCAUAAGGACCACAAAUAUUUUAAAUUAGAAGGAGAGGUGUGAAAGGUUGUAUUGCAGAAAUUAAAAGAUGAAAAGCAAAAGCAAAGACAAUUCUUUCAAGCAGCAAUAAGACCUGGAAAUAACGCCACUGAAGCAACUUAUAAAGUAGCUUAUAUAUUUGGAAGAAAAGGGAAGUCAUUCGGUGUUGUAGAAAUUAUGAAACAAUGCAUUGUUGAAGUUGUAGAAUGCUUAGACCCUGAUAACAUUUCAAAGUACAAACAACUGCCUCUUUCAAGGAGAACCAUAAGUGAUUGGCAGUAGGAAUUAGCCUUCAACUUAACAGAUUAAUUUCAUGCAAUACUUCAAAAGGAAAAUAUACAUUAUUCAAUAGCUUUGGAUGAAUCAACUGAUAUUACUGACUCAGCACACAUUUUGUACUUCAUUUGGGUGACAACAGAAGAUUUUUUUUGCAUCAAAGAAUUUCUUGCUUUGGGUACUCUUUUUAAAAAAAAUUUUUUUUUUAGGCAA